rnacentral:lncRNA from 1 species
ACAGUUGCUCUUCCUUGCUCUCGGGCUCACUGUUUCACUCAAAAAAAUUUCUUCUUUUUUGGGUUGCAGCGGAGGAGAACGAAGGAAACGAAGAAGGAAGGGGGUUUAAAUAUCAACCUGAAGAAAUGUGAUCCGUCAAAUCACAUACAGUGAGAGAGGGUCGUUGAUCGUUUUAGUGGCCAGCCGAUGCUGGCGGGAGCAGGUCGCGUGCACGCCAGGUGGCAGGAAAGAUCUAUGAGACAGUGGGGGAUCUUGCACGAUCAGACAUUAGCCAAUUGGGAGCUUUUACUCACUGUUCCGUAGGCGUACAAUCCGUGCAUUCCUGCGGGUCUUUUUCCGCAAGGCUUGCCUGCAGGGUAAAACUCUCAUUCUUUCUUUUCUCUCUCUCUCUGUUUUUUUUCUUUUGUUUUAAGUUUUUAAACAAUUAUAUAAUUAUUUUAAAAUUGUAAAUACACACAAAUAUAACAUUUCAACCAUCGCUUAAAAAUCAAAGAUUUUAAAUUUACAUGCAUCCGGUGUUUGAAUAACUUCAGGAGUGUCACAGAAAUUAGAUGGGUAAGAAGAAAAUUUGGGUUUUCUUGUGUUUUUUAAUGUAAGUUGGUUGGGUUAGCGGUGAUCCUUCUUUUUUAGAAUUUAGUGCAAGUAUUGGUCCUCUACUCUAGGAACCAAGGACCAGACUUGAUCUAGUUUCCAAAGUGCAGUCUGGUCGGACUUUGUAGUUCAUAUCAAAAUUUAAACACCCCAAUAUGUGCAUAUAUAUAAUUUAUUUAUUUUAAAUUAAUAAGUUGACUUAACAUAAAUAUAACUAAAUUCACAUAUUAGUUGGACUUAAAAUGAAUAAUCAACAAAUGUAAAAUUUUAUUUAUUUUAAAUUAUAGUAUUACAAGUCUAUGUUAAAAAAAUAUAAUCUUUUUCCUUACAACAUAUUUGAAAGUUGAUAUAGAAGAAUAAGAUGUAAAUUCUUAGAGUAAAAGAAAAUUUUAAUGAAACCCUGGUCGAGGGAAUUAAUUAUAAUAAAAAAUAAAAAUAGGUUUGAACCUCACUUUUAUUUUUUAUUAGAAAUAAUAUAAUAAAAUAAUAAUAAUCUCAAUUAUUAAUAAGAUAUUCAAUAAUUUUUUCUUUUUUAAUUAGUCACAUAGAAUACUAUCCCAAGGGGACCCAAUCCCCUCCAGUAUAGAAUUUCGUAGAAGGGAGGUAACCAAUUGAGCCAGACUACUGCAGAGGGUCAAACAUAUAGUUUUUUCUUAAUAAUAAGUUACAGUAUAAAUGAAGUAUAUGAUUACAAUGUUUUGGAGAUUACAAAGCAAUAAACAAUUAGAAAGAAGUUUGAAUUUAUUAGGCAAUUACCUUAAUACAUUUAUAUUCAGAUACCUGUAACAUGCACAGAAUUUUCGAAUGCAUACUGACAAAUUGAUUAAAACACGAUUGAGAAUUGACUAUAUAUAUAUAUAUAUAUAUAGGUACACGUAUAUCUUAUAUUAAGUUAUUAGCUUUUAGCCUUGUUCAUAUCGAGGUUUCUUAUUCAUAAACAAGAACUGACGUUGAAUCCCAUGAAAUUUUAUGCCUACGCAUUUGAGAAGGACGCAUAAGUAAAUAGAAAGAUUCAGCAUGUCACAAAUUAAGGAAGCAGGAAAUUACAGCUGUGGCCACCAUGUAAUAUACCAUAUGGGUGUCUUACACAAUUAAAUAUUAGGAAAUUUAUUUUCAAAAACAUGUAGCGAAUUUGAGAUUGGUUAUUAUCAAUUACAAGUAUUUUGAUAAAGGUAAAUUUGUAGUGCUGUAAAAUUAGUAAAAACAAAGAAGAAGAAGAAGAAGAAUAAGCCUGAGAUGUGUAGGAACAAAGUUGUUCUUUAAGAUAACUAUGUCCUUCAAGUAUGCAGAAUGUAUAGGUUCUUCUAAAAAUUUUUAUGCUGCUAGAAAUUAGGAGAACAAGAACAAUGUUCAUAAAAGAUAUUCACAAGUGUUUAUGUAUAGAUACAUAGAAGAGAAAUGAACUACAAUAAUUUACCUCUUUUUGGUGAUUAUUACAUAGAAAAAAUUUAUGCAUGCCACUAAAGAAACCUAAGAGCUUUUCAGUAGGUAUUUGACCAAAUAGGAUUGUAUGAUUCCGAUAAAACUGAUCACUAAAAUACUCUAAAAGGAAAUGAUGCUAAGGGAAGCGAAUCGGAUUUUCUAUAAAACCGGAAACGAAGACUAUUAACUCCCCUUGAAGUUUGUUAGUAAGCAACUAUAUGAUAAGCUAGGAAUAUAUGUCUUUCUAAUAAAAAUGUUAUACUGAACUCAUAAUUCAUUAGGUAUUUCUUAUGCAUACCAGUAAAGUCUUAUAAGUAAAUUAUUUUCAUCUGUUCAAUUAUUUGAUAAUCGAAGGCAUUUUUAAAAACAUUACAGAUUUAUUAGGAUAUGUAAUAACCUGAAAUUGAAUUUAAAAUUUUAAAAAGAUUAGAGCUUAAAAGGCAUAUGAUUUAAUUCAAAACUCAAUCACAUUGCAUAUAAGCUAUAGAAAUAAAACUAUGCAAGUAAAUACAAGAACUAGGUAAACAUCAAGGUUUAUUUUUUUUUCUAAAUUGGGCAUGAACAGGCUUCGUGUACCUUAUAUCCACAAAUCUAUCAUGCUAUUUAAACUCAUAAUGUUAAGCAGAAAGAGUUUGUAUUAUAAAUGAAAACAAAGCUCUAUUUCCAACACGAAUUUUCUUAAGUUUAAGAGUAAUGUAUUAGAUCUAUUACUAUAAUGUCCCGCUUUCUUUAUUGAGAGGAGACGCUAUUACAUGUCUAGAUUUUAUUUAUUCUGCAGUAAAAUAUAAAAUUAAAAAAAAAACUAAUUUACACAUCCCUUAUUACAAUACACGAGACUCAAUAAAAUUUUAAUUAUAUUAAUAUCAUCACUUAGUUCUACUUCGCAAGCAAAUUUAACUAAAAAGAAAGGAUUUCUGGACGCGGGGAGCUCUAGGAUCAAAAACAUCUUGAUCAUAAACUCACUAUACUUAACAUAAAUUAAACCUUCCCUACUCAAUCAUACCAAAUAAUGUGAAUGCUAUUAAGGUAACUGGAAAAAUAAAAAAAAAAUUGAAAAGAUGUAACGACUUACCUGAUAAGUCGAUUCAAGAUUUUUCGGCUCAAUAAGAUGGUUGAAGCAACCUCUCUUAAAGAAUACUCUCAAAAAUUAGCCAAGCUAAUUUAAAAAUUAAACUGAAAUUUUAUUUGUCGCUCAAUAGAAUUAUGUUCUUUAUAGCCUAAGGUGUGGCCUUUUUAUAGGUUUUCACCAGAUAAAUUCUACUGAAAAAUAAAUAUUAGAAUUUAAGUAGAAUUUUAAUAAAAAUCUAUCUUUAGAACUAAAAAACCUCAAUAAAAUAAUGUCUUAUCCUCAUCUUAAUUCUAAGAUAAUAAUUAAUUAAUCCUAAAAAUAAAAUUAAACAUUAAAAUAUUAAUUAAAUAUUAAUAAAAUACUAACUAAAUAAUUCCCUUCCCUUUUACCAUAAUUUCCAUGUACCUUUGAUCUUCAUCUAGACUUCAAUUUGCUGUAGAAUUUUCUUUGGAAAUUUAGCCAUAAAAAUUACAUGUGAAAUUAAAAAAAAGGUAGAAACCUCCUCAGCUUAAAACUCCCAUCCAGCACACUUCAUCCGCGCAGGUAAAUUCUCCUGCAUGUGUGUGUGCGUGUGCGUGUGCAGCUGUCUAGUCUGCACAAAUGUGCCUUCCUGUGUGUGGGUAAGGGCCUCCUCAUGCACACCUUCCUUUCUCACGAGUGAAAAGAUCCUGAGGGUGCGAGUACCUUGUCCCACAUAUGCGGUUGCCUCGUAUAUGUGCAUGCUACCUAAUAAUGCGGCUCCUUGCUUGCCACCUCCUUUGGUCGAAAUACCUUGAUGCCCUCUCGGGUUGAGCCAAAAGUUUACCUUUCUUCUUACCUUUUGAUUCUCCAAGCUUGCGAGUCUCUUCAUGGGCCUUAAGCCUUCUUUGAACAAACUUAACCCAUUCUUUUGAAUUAUCUCAAUUAGGAAAGUGUUUAGGGGUAGAGAUGUUAUCCCCUUUAAGAUGAUCCCGUUUAGUAAACAAAAAGAUUAUGAAAUUGAUUACUUAUUUGGGACGGGACCUGCAGGAGUUCUUGUGGGAAUUUCUUAUUUUUUAUACAUAGGUCUGCGUCCGCAGGUCUAUGUUUGCAGGUCUACAUCUGCAUGUUGUGCAAGGUGUGUGUGCAGCAUCUUUGCACUUUUGCAUGUGCGUUGUGUGCACUGCAUGCCCUUCUUCGUGUGCGGCUGUAGACUCACGAGUAAUUGUCUUACGAGAUUCCUCCUUGAUGUGAAGUUGCAUCCUUGGAACUAAAUUUGGGAUCUAGGAUCACAUCACUUCUUCUACAUCUUUCAUCAAUCUUCAGCUCAUUCAAGACCCAUUCUCAUCUAAAAUAGGGUGUGAAUUGAGGAAAGUUUUAUAGACUCAAUAAGAAAACAACUUACUAUCAUUCUCAGUACAAUAUAUUAAAUUUGUAGAAAAUGAAAAUAUACCAACAGUUACAUUUCUUUUGAAAAAACAUUUCUAAUUAUAAAAGCUACUUAACAAUGUAUAAAAACUCAUUCCACUGCACAUUUAAAGUAACUUAUUUCGUACAAAACAUUUCUUUACAUAUUUCAUAUUCUUCCUUUCCUUCACAACUAUCAGAAUAUAUUCAAUUUUCACAUUUUCACUCAAAUAUUGAAUUUACACAUACUCUGUACAUACCUUUUUCGAUUCAGAAACAUAUCUUAUCCUUGAUAAAUCUUAAUAUUUUUUUUUAACUCUUCACCUUAUCUUAUUCAUAUUUUUAUUUCACAUUUCAUUGAAUUCCUACUUACACUAUAUAAACUGGUUUUAUAAAUAAUUACACCUACACUUUCUAAUAUUACUUAUUUAGCACAUUUACACAUAUCUUAACACAUGUUUCAAACAUAUCACACCAUCCUGCACCAAAUCACACAGUAAAUACAAGACUCUGUAUAUUCAUACCAGAUCAUACAACACUAUAGGGUUAUACAGAAUUCUCGAACAAUUGUAUUAUAUCGCACAGCAAACAUAAUGUAUCGUAUAGCUGUACUAGGUCAUAUAACAAGUAUAAUGUACUUAGACUUCGUGUGUGUCAAAACACACAGUAGAUACAAAACACCAUACACCCAUACCAAAUCACAUAGCAAGUAUAGUGUGUCAUACAACUAUACCCGAUCACAUAAGUAUAGUGUACCUAGAUUUUAUACGUGUUAAAUCACACAACAGGCACUAAUCGCAUAUGUUUUCCUACUACCCAAACAUUAACUUAUUUUAGUUUAUUCUUAUUUCCCUUUUAUUUUAAGAUUACUUUCAGUUAUUAUGGUUUUAACACUUAAAGCAUAUUAUUUGCCUUAUGUUAAUUACCUUUCUUGAUUUAGCAAAUCAAAUUUAGUUCCUUUCAUUUUAUUUCCUCAUCCUCUAAGAUAGACUUAUUUAUGUUUAACUAUUCUUUGAUAGUUUUUUUUUUUGUUUAUCUUCAAACUCUUUUAUUUCUCUAUCUUAUUUUAUCUUAACUUGGUUUACUUAUUCUAAUCCUUCUAAAAUAUUUUCCCACUUUUUAAAUUAUCUUUCAAACAUAUUUUCCUACUUUCACCCUUUCUUUAGCAUUUACUUGACUUUCUCUAAUUAAGAACCUUCACUUAAUUACAACUUAGUACUUGUUGAUUAUAUCAUUUUUCUUAUUCUAGUUAACAUCUAAAUAGUCUAUUUAUCUUAUUUGAAAGAAACUCAGAAUCUUAAUUUUUUACUUCAUUUCUUUUGUACUUAUUUUAGUAUAUAUAUAUAUAUAUACACACACUUAUAUAUACAUAUAUCAAAAACACGCACCUUAUACCUCAGUACACACAGAAUUUAUACACAAUACAUGGAACACAUAAUACAUAUAAUUUUACACAUGAGCACAUCCAAAUGAAUUAGGGAACAACGUUGAUACAAACAGCACGUAAAAUUUAGAAUAGAUGAAAACGUGUAAGAAUGAUAAUUAUUCCUGUCAGAUUUGUUUAUGUAUAAAAACUCUUUAAUAAAUCAAAUCGAAUUAAGGUAUUAUUAUGAGAUUUUAAAAGACUUAACACAUAAUAAAUAAUAUAAAUACUUUCUUAGGUUUGUGCUUGUUUCUCAAUCAAAAACUUCCACUGCCAUAUUUUUUAAAUUCGAAGCCUCUUAGUUUCAAGUUCCCCUUUUGAAAUGGAAAUACAUGCGAUUUUGACCAAAGAAUCAGCCUAAAAAAUGAACAAAACAAGAAAAGGGGUUUGGUUACCUAAAAAUACACAAUUCGGGUCAUUGGGCUUCGGGUUUAGGCUCUGUACUUCCGCAAUAGCCCCAUUCCCUUUCACACUGACAAAGACUCUCCAGCACUCUCUCCUUCUCUUUACUUCGUCGACCCUUCUUCUCUAGUUACCUCUCACCCAGUCAAUUAUUCCUACCUGAGAAAAAGGAAAGAAUCUCCUUGCUCUGUCGACUGUUGUCAGCUCUCCCACUCAUCACUCUCUUUCUUAACGACAUUCUUUGAUAGCGAUCAGAUGCACAAAAGCUCAAAUGUUGCUAAUCAGGAAGCUCAAGUUUGUGAAGAUGAUAAUUUGAUCAACAUUGUUGGUCCAAUGACACGUUUAAGAAGAAAGAAAAUGCAAGAAGCCUUGAAGAAUUUGAUUAGUACAAGUCUUUCACUAGAAUGCUCCAAAGCCCACAAUACAAAGUCCAGAAUUAUGAAUUUCAUGACUAGUUCAGAUCAUGGGCCAAUAAGGGCUAAUGGAUCAUAUUGGACUGAUCAAGACAAUCAUUUUGCCCAUAAUAUGGCCUAAAAUUCAUGCAAAAGCAUGGCUGGUUCAAGACUACACUCUUUUAUCAAUUCUAGUCAACAAUAAUGGCUUGACUUUGAAGUUGAAGGACAUCAAUAAAUCUGAUCAUUUAUGAACAAGAUUGGAGUCUUCAAAAGCAUUAAAACUCUUCAUUAGAUGAUGAAAAAUCAGCAUGGAGUAAAGAGAAGUCAGCCUUGGAAAAAUGAAUUCAAAGAAGACUAGCAUCCCAAGUCAUUAAUUAGUUUUGAAUUCUGUCUUUUUUUAUUAGUUUCUAUUUCCAAAGUUAAUUUUAAGUAAUUUACUUUUGAAUUUCGUGCUUCCUAUGACCUAUAAAUAGGGGUGCAUUCUACUUGUAGAGAGAGGAUGAAAAUUACGUACUUGUUAAGAGUUUUCCUUAAUUUACUAGUCUCUUUGAGCUAGUUUGGGUCUUGCAAGUUGCUUGCAAAACUUAUUAGGUUUAUCAACUAGGAUUCUUCCUCUUAGUUGUGGCACCUUGGCCUUUCUUCUUUCUCUUCUGUGAUUCAAAGGUGAUAGGUUUAAUAUACCUAUUAUUGUUGGGUUCAUUAGAUUUAGGGGUGGGUAACAGUAGUUCAAUUUUUCUAUCUUUUUGUGAUUCCAAGGUGGUAGGUUUAAUAUACCUACUGUUGUUGGAUUCAAAUAGGUUGGUUUGGGUUGCUUAGAAGAUUUUCAUAAUUUUUUCUUUUGGUGUAAUUCAAAGGUGUUGAGUUUGAUAUGCUCAAUGUUGUUGAGUUCAUCCAAGAUUGAAGAUUGGCUGAACUAUAUCAUCAAGGAACGAUCUUAAUCAACGAGUAACCGUUGCUUAUCAUUCUUCUUUUUCUUGCACGUGACGACUUUUGAUUAAUCGUUCGCCCACACAUUCACUGUCUUCUUCUUUUCUCCUCCAGACUCGGUCCCUUACGAAAAUGGGAGGAAACCCAAUUAGUGUUUUUUUAAAUAUUCCCAUAACGAGCCAUCCAAUCUCCUCUCACAAAACUAGGCCAUUAGAUCAUUUUCGGGCUAUUUUUGUCUUUUUAAGUGCUCGAACAAAUCCUAACUGUUCGAUCUUAUCUUCUUGAACCAUGGUCAUUUGAUUUACAUUUUUCCCUAUGCUUGCGUAGCUGCCAAACAUAUGACCUAUCUGUGUGUCCGCCACAUGACAGACGCUGAUUGGGGUCACAGACAAGUCAUACACUGACGUGUCCCUACUUUCUGAAUUUACAGAAAACCCUAGUUUUUGAAAUUACCUUUCAUUUAGGUUCCCAGUCCCUUUUUAAUAUACGAAAGGCCCCCAAAUUUUCUAAUUUCAUUCAUUUGGGUCCCUGAACCCCUAUUUUAUUAAUUUUGUGGUUUAAAAUUUUUUUGGCUGUCUUUAAAUUCCAAACUUUCACCUAAUGCAUAUAUUUUAAUUCUAGAAUUGUAUUUUUACUCAAAAAUUUCAGUUAAAAAUUCCACAAUAUCAUUAACUUAAAUAUCCCAAAAUUUAUUAAAUUCCUCUUCACAUUCUUUCCUUUUUAAAAUUCUUUUAAGAUACCCAAAAAUUAAACAUUCAAUUAUGAGGGAUGUUAUAAUCUCCCUUUUUAAAAAAAUAUUUGAUCCUCUAAAUUUAUAGUGAAUAUGAUUUGAGAACAUCCUUACCCGUUUCAAGUUUUCUCUUUGACCUAAUGGUGUCAUAAUAAGCUUCCCUCUUGGUGGAAUCAUUUUAAAUCGGGAUAUCUUCUUCUCACUUCAACCAGUAAAGGUAUAUUUUCCUAAGAGUGCAUCUCUUUAAUUUAGAGAUUCUAAUACUUAGGAGUUUGAUGGUGCUUCAUUAUAAUUUCCUUAAGAAUAUUUGAUCUAAUUUAAAGAAUAUCAUCUGGGACUAUCUUGAUUCUCAAAAUUCAUUAAAGCCCAACAUUUCCCAGUUAUAUUAUUUGCAAUUGUAUUAUUAUCUUACAUGGUUUGUAAGUAUCAUUUCUAGUAUAAUCAUCGUUCUAAGAAUCUUCUGACAAUAUAUAUCAUUUCCUAAAUUUACCACAAGAAUAAAUUCUUAAUUACCUAGGUAACCUCAAUACCGUAGUAUGUUUAUAAUCUCUUUAGUUUCAUGUGUCUAAUUUAAAUUACUUGUUUCCUAAUUCAAAAAUUAAUUCUUGAUUAUUUGGAAUCUAUCCCCUAUAAUUUUUAAUAUAAUAUCCAAUUAUCACCAAAACAUAUGCAUCGUUCCUAACAACUUAGGGUUUUUAAACCAUAUUUGGUUUUUCGUAUUCAUAUAGGAAAAUUUGCCAACAUGACAUUUUAGUCUUAUCAUUCCUUUUCAUGUUCAAUUCCCUUCGAGAUAGAUGAGUACAUAAGUCAAUUGUGUGGUGGUUUUCAGACUUCUAAGUAUUACUUAUGGGUUUGGUACAAUGUUAAAUUUUUUAAGACCUUUUUCCUCUUUUAUUUUGUUGACUUGAUAUCCAUGUAAAUUAUUCUUUAGCUAAGUCAUAUUGUCCCUCUAAAUUCACCAAAGAUUAAAUAAUUCCUAAAAGACCUCAACACUUGAUUGGCUUUUUCUUAAGGUCCUUUAUAAUAUAUAAAGUGAGUUAUAAUAUCCAUAGUCAUUAUCCAAGUUCAUUAGGAGUUCCUUUGGUAGAAAGUUUACUUAUUAAUCUUGUUAUGAGUGGUUAUGCUUGGUUCUGGUUCUUGUAGUUAUACCUUGAGUUUCGAAAUUUUUAAAUGCCCACUCUUAAGUAUGGCCUUAAGAUGUGGGUUACAGGUUUAUCACGUUAUCAAUUUCUCUUUAUUGGUUUGGAGAGAAAUAUUCCAUGUGUGGUGGGUUAUAAGUCCUCGACACUUCUGCUGCAUUAUUCUAAUAAUAUUUACUCUGGAGGCUUCUCUUUGUAUACUGCAUUAUUUUUAUGUCCCUUUUUGGUAUAAGGGAACCAUAUUAUGGAUUUAUCAUUAUAUUAUUAAUUAUUUAUUAUUAGAACAUGUCAUUAGAAAAUUCCCUUCUUCCUUGAAUUUUUUUAGGAGAAAUAAAGACAUUUAGGCAUACGAGCUUUAAUUGGGCAAAAUUUUUCGUAUCCACCAACAAAUGGUUAUUCAAUCUCCCAAAAUGUUCUUAUCCCUCAAUCACAUGAUUAUUGAGUGGCCUAGGAUAAUGAAUUGUUAUUGUAACUCCUGUGCGAAACCUUAAUAAGAAUUUUAGAAUAGGUAGGGGAUUUAUUCUUCUCAGAGAAAUUCAUGAGAAACUUUGUAAUUCAUAAAUUUUUGAAUGUUUAGUUAGUGCGACAACUCUCAAUUGUUUGACAAACCUUAGAUUAUUUUCAUGUUUAUAUUUUAUUUUGAGAUUUUUACUUACGUUUUAAUGAUCUUGUAAAAUGUUUGAGGAAAUUUAAAUGUAGGUUUAAAUUAAAAAGGAAAUGAAAAGAAGAAAUCUUUAAGAAAAUCACACGCAGGAUUCCAAUCCCAGAAACUAACCAUCGCGAACACACCUCGAGAUAUGUCUCACGGGAACGCCUAGCGAGCAUCUGCCUACCUCGUGGGCAAAUCCCCAGCCCACGUGAUAGGACCUGCACGUACACGGACAAGCCAUGUCCACUCUCCAUUGACCAGCUACUAUUCGAACAGACCCUCACUUACCUCCACUGUAGCAUGCUGCCACUUGGCAUGCACCAACCAUACACGGUCAGCCACUUAGCCGAUCAACGACUGUUUCCCUUGCAUGUGAUCCAAUGGAUCACAUUGCUCCAAUCAUGCGUAUUUAAACCCCUCCCCCCCUUUUCCUCAUUCUUCCAUUUUUCUUCCACUAUUCGAAGAGAAAAAGAAUUCCAGUAUGCAAUAGAGAUCGAACCCGAGAGUGUGAGAAGAGCCUUGAGCUGCUGUCAUCUCCUUCACCGUAACAAGCUUAUCACCAAGCUCAUCAUUCCUUCCUCGAACAGUAAGCCUCGACCUUGCCUUGUUGCAUUUUUUUUUAUACCAAUACACCUUACAGCAAUCGUUUCCUCUUUCUCGAGAUCAAAUGUAUAUUGGUUCUGCAUUUUUCACCUGCUGCUGCAACUGUCUUCUUAGAACCCAAUAACCUUUCCAUCACUUUUUGGAGCCCAAACCACAAUCAAGCUUUGGUAAGAAUGAGAGUAGUAUUUAUAUUACUUCUAAUGGGUUUUAUACAUUGUCUAAAAUGAUUAAAAUGUUAAGAAAAUUUUACAUGCAUGAACUAUGUGAUGUAUGUGUCCAAUAAUCAUUUUUAUCAUGUAUUAAUUUCAUGUUUGGAUGUAUUCAUGUUUGGAAAUGCAUGUUGAAUGUUUAUGCAUGCAUAGGAAUUUAAAUAUGGGAAGAUAAAAGGCAAAUUUGUGUUCAGGAAUUAAUGAAAAAGGG